rnacentral:ribozyme from 1 species
GGACGACAGAGAAACAUGUCUUCCAGGGUCCUGGUGAGGGUGAAACGCUCUCGCAAGAGCGAGCCGCAA